rnacentral:rRNA from 1 species
CACGUAGGCGGAUCGUUUAGUCGAGGGUGAAAUCCCGGGGCUCGACCCCGGAACUGCCUUCGAUACUGGCGAUCUUGAGUCCGAGAGAGGUGAGUGGAACUCCGAGUGUAGAGGUGAAAUUCGUAGAUAUUCGGAAGAACACCAGUGGCGAAGGCGGCUCACUGGCUCGGUACUGACGCUGAGGUGCGAAAGCGUGGGGAAGCAAACA